GACGAACGCUGGCGGCGUGCUUAACACAUGCAAGUCGAACGGAAAGGCCCUGCUUUUGUGGGGUGCUCGAGUGGCGAACGGGUGAGUAACACGUGAGUAACCUGCCCUUGACUUUGGGAUAACUUCAGGAAACUGGGGCUAAUACCGGAUAGGAGCUCCUGCUGCAUGGGGGGGGUUGGAAAGUUUCGGCGGUUGGGGAUGGACUCGCGGCUUAUCAGCUUGUUGGUGGGGUAGUGGCUUACCAAGGCUUUGACGGGUAGCCGGCCUGAGAGGGUGACCGGCCACAUGGGGACUGCGAUACGGCCCAGACUCCUACGGGGGGCAGCAGUGGGGAAUAUUGCACAAUGGGCGGAAGCCUGAUGCAGCAACGCCGCGUGCGGGAUGACGGCCUUCGGGUUGUAAACCGCUUUCGCCUGUGACGAAGCGUGAGUGACGGUAAUGGGUAAAGAAGCACCGGCUAACUACGUG
rnacentral:rRNA from 1 species